ACAAAAGGAGAGAAUGGAGGGAGUGCAAGCCAGCUGGCAAUUAUUUUUGAAACCUCGUGGAAGACUAUUAGGUUCCUCGGAGUUUGAAAAGGGAAAGAUACCAAAUUUUUUUUUGACAGCAUGAUAAAAAUGUGUUAAAUGGGUCACAGAGAAUCUGAAUUUGGUAGGCUUCUUCGGUACGAAGAUAAACUCUUAGUAAAAAUGAGCAAAAGGGCUAAAUGAUAAGUGCCCAGCUAACUUGCCCAUUGGCCCACAUACAUGAGUGUCAGAUGUACACCUGUUUCCAUCCCCGCCCCUCUUUGUGUAAGAUCUCAUCGUCUGUUAUUCUGAAGUUGACUACAAAUGCACCUGUGGUAGACGUAAGCACUGUUCACAAUCGUUCCGGUUCCCUUUCCUUCUGGGCGCACAAGGAAGGACUAUACCUCCUCAUCGUGGUACAGAUGGACGUGAACUUGUCUGGAUGGAAGCAUUCAAGGGCUGAGAACCUGUAGUUCUGUAGUUACGAAGCCACUGAGAUCUGGGAGUGAUUUCUACCACAGCAUGACCUACAUUGUCCUGACAAUGGACCACCACGCCACUUGUGGUGGGAAUUCAGCGAGGUGACACAGAUGAGGAAACUGAAGACCAGAGAAGGUACGUAGCUUGCCCAUGGUCACACGGCUGAGAUGAGAUUUGUUCCUCCUGCCAGAUUCCAAUGCCUGGUCCUAACCACCGAGUUACACCACGUCACACUUCCAGGAUGCCUUAGAUCAGGGAGAUUCAAUACAGCGAGAUAUUUAGCUGAAAAAUAAAGAACCCUCUUGGCACAGAAACAGCUUUCCAUCAGCUUCACUGUCCAGCUUGCGUGUAGCCUACUCUCUAGUCCCCAGCCUUGGGAGAAAUCGAACAUCGAUCCUGAGGCUGGGACAAGAUUGGAAAGUUCUCCUCCCCCAACACACUGCCAUGUUCAAUGUGGCUGCUUCCACCUCUUUCUCAUGCUGCAACCUCCCUCCCACCCAGCUUCAGUCUCUCCCCUGCACACUAUUAAUUGACUCCUUCCUUUGGCCAUUCUUGCUUCUGCUAGAGAAGACGCAAGGUCGAUAACCACUUGCUCAAUCUCCCUGAAAGCUAGUGGUGGCCGUGAGAAAGAGCGCUGGACCGUGGGACACGAGUGGGGUCUUUUGGGAAAGAUGUUUCACUUCUGGCAAAAGAGACAAGCACAAGAGGAGACAUUUCUGAUACCACCAUUUUCCCCUUGUCCCUGCCCUGAAAACAGAUGUGGUCACCUGAAGCCACAGAAGUCAUCUUCCUACUAUGAGGGGAUGAGCACAAGAAUAAAAAGCCAAGGCUUGUCAGUGACACACUGAGCCACCCGAAAGAGCCAGAGUUCUGAUGUUCUCACUGAGCAGCUGUGCUAAAAAUAGCAACCACUGGCCCCCUGGCCUCUUGUUAUGUAAGAAGAACAAAUCUCUUUUGGCUAAAGCUACUGUUGGUCAGGUUUUUCUGUUAUUGGCAGCUACGUGUGUUCCCAAAUUAUAUACCAUAUCAUCAUAAAUCUUCAUAUACAUCAUAAAAUACCAUACUUGGAAUUUAUUCUAAUUUGCAUAUCUAGUCCUCAAUUUUGGAGAAUUUAGAUUAUACCAUUUUAACUACUUUAAAUAAUCCCAUGUUGAACAUCUUUGUAUAUAAAGCCUUUUCCAUAUUUAUGAUUACUUUCUUUACUCAGGAUAGAACUUCCUGGAGUAACUUCAGGCUCUUGACACAUAUUAACAAAAAGCUUUACGAAAAGUUUGUGUACCAGGGGCACUUGGGUGGUUCAGUUGGUUAAGUAUCUGUCUUCUGCUCAGGUCAUGAUCCCAGUGCCUGGGGA